UUCCCAAAUUGAGAAAUAGAAACCCUAACCCUCAAACCCUUAACCCAGCCAUCGAAACCCCUUCCCCAAACCCAACAGCUUACAUGAAAUAGAAAACAAAGAGAAAGAGACUGAGAGAGGGACGCGCAUCGCCGGUAGGGAUUGGGCCGCCGUCGCGUGGUCGUUGAACUAGAGGGAAGAGCUGCCGCCGCCACGCCUCAUCGUCGAAGCUCCACGUUGUUGUCACCGCCGUUCGCGAAGAGAGAGGAAGCCCGCGAAGUCGCUGCUGAGCCACCGCCGCUGUGUCCUACCUGCGCCGCUGUUCAAGCCUAUCCCCGUCCAUGGAGUCGCGAGGAGCGCCGCAGUCAUCGUCGUGGUGUGUGGGCUUCGUGCAAAGAGAAAAGACAGACUACGAUGGGAGAGGAGGUGGACCGUUUCUGCUGUUGUCGUGCCGUGAACGCUGCCGUGGUGGAUGGCAUCACCGCUGCCUAGGUUUCUGUGGUCCAAGUCGCCAUUGAUGGAGAAGACGCCACUGAGGAGCAGAGCCUCUAUUUCGCGCCAGUCACGACGAAGCUGCCACGGGUGUUGCUGUCUCGCUGCCAUCAAAGGUCCAUCGCCGCCAAUCCACGCCGCUGCUGAAGAUGAGUUGUGUUUGCUCUUGCUUCCUAUUCGAUUUAAAUCCUUUGUCCUAUUGCAACCAUCGUCGAUGCCUUAAGAAAUUGAGACUGUUGUUAUUCCCGUUAAUGCUCCUGCUGCUGUUCGAUUGAUGUCGCUACUGCUGUCUUGAGUUCAUUGUUAAUGCGUCAUUGAGCAAAUGGAGCUGGCUUUCUUUCACAAUUGCUUCAGUGCCAUAUGUUCCUAAUUUGCAAUAAACAAGCUUCCCCUUCACAGGUGCUGAGCUUUCAUAUGGUAAAGUGGUUGAAACAAAAGUUUUCGAGCGUUGAGAAGGAAGAAUAGCAAUACCAGAAACAAUCUAUCCUGGUAGAGUCUGAAUUGUAUUGCUCUCACGUCUGUGGAACAAUUCUGUUAAUAGUUUCUACUUAGUGUUAGUGUGUAUAUCACUAUAUAAAACUGAAAUUGAGACAAGUGUAUU